UCUUAUGGAUGGGCAAAGAAAGUGGUUUCCUGAGAUGGAAUUUACUUCUGGCGAAGAUGCAGUGAA
rnacentral:pre_miRNA from 1 species